rnacentral:tRNA from 1 species
CAGAGAAUAGUUUAAUUUGAAAAUUUUAAUUUUGGAGAUUAAUGAUAAGAGUAACUCUUUUCUCUGA